rnacentral:lncRNA from 1 species
CCCUGCUGGGAGGUGUCUCCCAGUCAGGGGGAACUGGGAUUGCUGCACUCACUGUCUAACCAGCCCCAAUGAGAUGAACCAAGUACCCCAGUUGGAAAUGCAGAAAUCACCCACCUUCUACAUUGGUCUCACUGGGAGCUGCAGACGGGAGUUGUUCCUAUUCGGCCAUCUUGCCAGCACCUCCCUGAUCUAUUUCUUUAUAUACCUGUGCAAAAGAAAGAGUCUUUAUAAUAACAAAUGUGGGCAUUAGAGGAUGGGAAAAAUGCCCAUUUACUUUUUUCUUCCUCUCUAUCUUCCUACUUCUUAGUCUUAAAUAUGGAUGUAGUUUCAAGAAAUGUGAAGCAGAAUGGGAUAAAUUGAGAUCCAGAUUUUGUCUCAAGAACGAGAAAAGGGUAGGCCCCACAAACUGGAAUAUGCCUCAGCAAUAGGGCAAAUUGUUUAACUCAGGAGAAAAACCUUUUAAACUUGUUUAUAAACUCACCUCUGAGCUGAGCAUUAGUGGUUCUGACUUUAAAAAACAUACAGAACAUUUAAAAACUGACUUGAUAGAACAUCACCCAAGACCCAGACUUGGUGAAUGUAUGGAAUAGAUUAGAAUUGGCAUUGCAAGGGUUAGAAAACUAAUCUGAUAUUAGAAUCACAACUCAGGGAAUGCUGGUUGGAGCUUUCAGCCUGAGCCCAACUUGGUCAAUUGUCUGCAAAGCAAAAAUAUUGCUUUCUAACAAAACAAAAAUAUCAAUAUUCUAUAUAAAUAGCAUAACAUAACAUUAAACUGUAUAGAAUAUUAUACAAAAUUAUUCAGAAUAUGAAGAAUUGAGAAAAUUUCAACUCAAAUGAGAAAAACAAAAACAAUUACCAACACUGAGAUUUCACAGAUAUUGAAAUAUUUAGACAAAGACUUUAAUGAGUUAAGAAAGUACUCUAACAAGUAGUGAUAAACGCUCUAAAAAUAAAUGUAAAGUUACAAAGUCUCAGCGAAAGAAAUAGAAAAAAUAAGAAUCAAGUGAAAAUUUUGUACCUGAAAAAUGUAAAUAUACCACAAAAUUACAAGAAAACCUCAAUUGAUGGACUUAAUGGUGAAUUUAAAGAUGACAGAGGAAAGUAUUUGCAAUAGAAGAGAGAGCAAUAUGAAAAAUCUAAUGUGAUAAAUAGAAAAAUAAUUAACAAAGAUCCAGUAGCCUGUGGGAAAACCUCAAUAGAUAUAGACUAUAUGUCAUCAUAAGAUCAAAAGAAAAGGUAGCGUGGUGCAUACACAAAACACUAUUUAAAAAAGAAUAAUGGCUGAAAACAUACCAAGUUUGGCAAAAGAUCUAAACCUACAGAUUACAGAGAACAAUGAACCCCAAAAAGAACAAAACUAAGGGAAACAAUGUGGUAUCCCUUUAUAAAUGUUUCCUGGGUAAUUAAAAAUAAUAAGUAAUUUGCUGAGUUUUCAGUGAAUGGUUUUAUAAAUUAAAUAAAACUUAGUAAAUUAAUAAAAAUAAAAUUCUUAAAGCAUGUUCUGUGACCAAAAUGGAAUUAGAGUAGAAAUCAACAACAAAAAGAUACAAAAAAAUGCUCAAAUAUUUGGUAAGUACAAAACAUGCUUUUUAAAACCUAACAAAAAUGAACAAAAUAUGUACAAGUUCAUAUAAAGAAAACUACAAGACUCUAAUGAAAUAUAUCAAACAAAAUCUAAACAAAUGGAGAGAUAUUCCAUGAACAAGGACAAAAAGAAUGUCAUUUAUUUCUACUUUGAAUUGAUCCAAAGCAAUCCUGAUCAAAAUCCCAGCUAGUGAUUUCAUGAAUUUCUACAAACCAAUUUAAAGUUUACAUAGAAAGACAAAAGACCCAGAAUAACUAACACUACAUAGAAGGAGAAUAAAGUUAGAUUGACAGUACCUGAUUUCAAUACUUAUAUAAAACUACUAUAAUUAUGACAGUGUGGAAUUGGCAAAAGAAUAGACAAGUAGAUCAAUGGAACAGAGCAGAGUCCAGAAAUAGACCCACACAGAGCAGAUGAUCUCUUACUUGCAAUGUUGACUUAAUAUUUUCAACUUUACAAUGGGUUUAUCAGGGUAUUAAAUGCAUGUUUUUCUUUGCUGAAAACAGGGUCUAGCUCUAUUGACCAUGCUGAAGUACCAAACUGGCCUAAUUUUUUUCAAAAAUUUUUUUCAUAGAGACAGGGUCUUGCUGUGUUGCCAAGACUCGUCCAGAACUUCCGGUCUCAAGUGAUCUUCCCACCUAGCCUCCCAAAGCACUGGGAAGGAGUAUAAGCAUGAGGCCACCAUGACUGGCUAAAUUCAUUUUUGACUUACAAUAUUGUUAACAUGAAGGGUUUA